rnacentral:tRNA from 1 species
UAAGCUGAAGCCAAUCUGGCAUUUAUCUGUUACAUAAACUACUGCUAUUAUUUAGCCUGCUUAG